rnacentral:SRP_RNA from 1 species
GCCAGGUGCGGUGACACGUACGUGCCUAUAGUCCCAGCUACUCAGGAGGCUGAGGUGGGAGGAUCAUUUGAGCCCAGGAGUUCUGGGCUGUAGUGCUCUGUGCCAAUCGGGUGUCCGCAUUAAGUCUGGCGUUAAUAUGGUGACCUCCUGGGAGUGGGGACCACCAGGUUGCCUAAGGAGGAGUGACCCGGCCCAGGUCGGAAACGGAGCAGGUCAAAACUCUGGUGCUGAUCAGUAGUGGGAUUUCGCCUGUGAAUAGCCACUGCACUCCAGCCUGGGCAACAUAGCGAGACCCUGUCUCU